UACGAAGGGGGGCUAGCGUUGUUCGGAAUUACUGGGCGUAAAGCGCGCGCAGGCGGCUAUCCAAGUCAGUGGUGAAAGCCCGGAGCUCAACUCCGGAACUGCCAUUGAAACUGUUUAGCUUGAGGACGAGAGAGGUGAGUGGAAUUCCCAGUGUAGAGGUGAAAUUCGUAGAUAUUGGGAAGAACACCGGUGGCGAAGGCGGCUCACUGGCUCGUAUCUGACGCUCAGGCGCGACAGCGUGGGGGAUCAAACAGG
rnacentral:rRNA from 1 species